rnacentral:rRNA from 1 species
UACGUAGGGUGCGAGCGUUGUCCGGAAUUAUUGGGCGUAAAGAGCUUGUAGGCGGUUUGUCGCGUCUGCUGUGAAAAUCCGGGGCGUCAACCCCGGACUUGCAGUGGGUACGGGCAGACUAGAGUGUGGUAGGGGGAGACUGGAAUUCCUGGUGUAGCGGUGAAAUGCGCAGAUAUCAGGAGGAACACCGAUGGCGAAGGCAGGUCUCUGGGCCACUACUGACGCUGAGAAGCGAAAGCAUGGGGAGCGAACAGG